GUAAAACUGCCCUCUAGCCUCGCCGGAGAUGGGUGUACUUAUUCCCGAGUCGAUUUCAUCCCAAAAACCUUGCAAAAACACGACAUAUAACUUCAAUUUCACAUCUAACCUUCGAUCUAGAAUAUAAAAAGAAAAACCCGAAGCUUACCUACCUGAGAAAUUGAAGGAACUCGCCGGAGCAGGUGCGAUGGUGUGCGUGUGGGUCUCGGUGCAGAGAGAAGAGAGAUCUCUGUGUGAGUGUGUGUGGUUGGACUGGGAGAAGGGAGAAGAGAGAUCGAGAGAUCUCUGUGUGAGUGUGUGUGUGGUUGGACUGGGAGAAGGGAGAAGAGAGAUCGAGAAGGAUCUCUGUGUGAGUGUGUGUGUGGUUGGGCGAAGGGAGAAGAGAGAUCGAGAAGGAUCUCUGUGUGAGUGUGUGUGUGGUUGGACUGGGCGAGAGAGAGAGAGAGAGAGAAAGAGAGAGAGACUUUAACAUACCACCCAAGGUGGACGGGUAGUGGACGGGAGACUUAAACAAACAAAACCAUUGGCUUUGAUGGUUGUAACUUGUAAUUAUGAGGUGGACAGGUGACGUGAAAGAGGUGAAGUGCACCUCUGAUGGUUUUAACUUUUAAUAAAUGUUAUAUAAAUUAUUUAGAUAAUAUUUUGUUUUUUUUACUAAGCAAGCAGAUUAUAUUCGAACCCUCCCUUUGUCAACCACGCACCUAAGCUUUAUCCAACUCGCUACAGAUGUGUUUGUGAUUACAUAUUCAGCCUGUAAUAUUUAUAUGGUCGUUAAGAUGUCUGCAAGGCUUGCAAGCUAAUAUUUAUUAUCUAGGAUAAAUUUCUAUAUUUUAAAAAACACCAAGGUGAAAAUUUUGAACCUCAUAGGAACUCUAUGUGGUACUAAGUCACUCAUGUAUCUUACCAUGCAAUGUAUAAAGUGUAAAAUAUUGUACUAAUUCAUUAUAUAUAAAUGAUUAUGGUGUGUUUAGACUUCUUUCAUUAAUUACUACAUAUUUUAUACACUCACAAUGUUUGUCAGCUCACUAUAUAAUCAACUUGAUAAUGUUAAAUCCAUCAUGCAAUGCAUUUCCUUCCAAUUUUUUGUGAUAAACUAAUAGAUAAUUGACUAAAUAAACAUUCUGCAAAGUUUCAAUAAAAAUUUCCAAGUUUUUCUUACAAUUUCCAUGGUUUCCAUGUAAUUUUUAUCGAUAUCGAUAUUAUCCCGAUAUUUCCAUCGAUAUUUCCGUGUUUUCGGACUACCGAUAUUUCCGAUAUUACCGAUAUUUUCUUGCACAUUGCACACGCGUCCUCAUCGUCCUCAUCCGUGUGCCUUUUCGUUGGAUUUUCUUACUGCUAUACACAUGUUCUUCAUCCCAAAACGGAGGAAAGAUGGAAAAUCAAGGCUCUUCCAUUUGCUUCCACAAAUUUCUUGAUCUCUCUCGAGCUCCGGAUCCUAGCCUCCGCAUGAAGGUUCGUCUCUUUCUCUUACCUUUUUUUUUUUCAAUUCGUGAUCGAAUUUUCUUUCCAAGAAUGUUAGAUCUGUUGCCUUCGGGAAGAAAGUUUAAACCUAGAAAAGUUUGGUUUUCAGGAAAUCGUCAAUCUUGCUGAAACCUUGGUUUCCUGGUGAGUUCUCCGGCAUAUUUGUUUUGGGUAUGGUUUUUGAGUUCUCUUUUUUUUGUUCAAUUUUUUGUGAUUUUAAAUCCUCUCGGUGGCUACAGAUUUCAUCAGUUUUUCGGUUCGAUCAGGAUCACUUUUUUACCCACGAAAUCUAGCAUCUUCUGGUGAGUUUCGCGACUUUCUUCGUGUGGCUUUUUUGAAUUUUGUUUUUGUGGUUUUCGAUGUCCACAUGGGUUUUUUGUUUGAAUUUUGUAUUUGUGAUUUUGCUGGUUGUUUUGAAUUUAUAGAUGGCUUUUCUGUUCCAAUUUUGAUUCUGUGAUUUUGAGAGUUUGUUUAUAUUGUCAGAUCCGGCUUGGGUGUAUGAUCAAGAGACCUUGCUGUUUGUUUUUGGGCUUUGGUGUAUAGACUUCGAAGUCCUUUGUGCACAAGGUAAAUAAUUUAGUAUCUUCCUUUGAGGAUUUUGUGUCACAAAAUUUUUACUUUUUGUGUGUUGUGGAGGUUAAAUUUUGUGUAUUGUGAACGUUGAAUCUGUGCAAUUCCAUUUGUUCUUAAUUUUUUUGUGUAUUUGGAUAAUGUCGUUUUUUUUGGUGUUUUAGGUGGUGUUGCUUAAGUUAGUCUCUUUUGUUCUAAGUUGUAAAUGAUUUUCAUUCCAUGUUAUGUUGAGUUAUGUUAUUGCAGCAUUGAAAAGAGAUUGAGGGUUUUGGUUUAGUCAGACGGAGGGGGAGAUAAAGAGAGAAGUGGAUUAUGUGCAUGAAUGGGGUAUGUAGUUCAGUUGUUUCUGAGUAUUUGAAUUUCAGUUUUUAUUUUUGUGGUUCACCCGUAUUCAUUUUGGAUUGUUUUUUUUUUUUUUCAAUUUUAUUUUACAUAUUGUUUUGGAUAAUGUGAUUGGAGCUUUUAAAAGAGAAAUAUAGAGGUUUUUCUUUAGCUAGAGAAAGGACAUGAAUUGUGUCCCCAAAUGGGUUUGUUGGGUAAGGUAUAAAUCUUGAUUAAGAGUGAGUUUUAAAAGAAAAACAAAAGAAAAAAUGAACUCAAUGCAAUCUCCUUUAAUUAGCUCUUAAACCUAAUUUCUCUCUCUCCUCUCUCUAAAAUCCAUUUUUCAUUUUCUGAAAAGGGUUCAACAUAUAUUGUCUCUUUGUGUAGGUGGUACUCGGAGAAUUUUGUCAAGGGCCAAUGGGACAAGGAGGAUUGCAUUUCAGAUUGGCAGAAAUACAAUGCCUCCCAUCUGUGUGUUUCCAAUCUUUCCCCUCCUCCUAAAUUUUCAUCUAAAUCACAAUUUAUAUGAUUAUUUUGCUGAUUCUAUUUUUUGGUAUUUGAGUUUUUAUCUCCUGAUUAUUUUUUUUUUUCCAGAGAACUCCGCCGUGUAAGUUUAUCUUACAUUGCCGGUCCCAAGUCCGGAUAAAGGAGGAGGGGGAGGGCGUCAGGUAGUCGACAGCCGGCACUCCAUGAUCACGUCGAAUUCUUAUGAAAAUGAAUCCAGAACAAAAUCGCGCUAAAGCUAGGGCGUCACCCGUAAGUGGCGCGUUGUGUGGCCCGAGCACAGUGAUAAGUGAGCAAGGGUCGCUGUAUCUCCAUCGGCACCCGGAUGCAGUGUUAAAUGAGCAAGGGGGCUAUAGAAACUUCUUUUCGAACGACUCCACUCAAAGUUGUUUGGGAGCAUAUGCUCCUAUCAACUUUACACGGGACACACAAAAGAAGUACUUUGAUCCUAUUAGACGAGGAAGGGUGAAGAAGCUAGGACAGAAGGGUAGAGUUCAAGAGAGCAAAAUGCGUUUAGGAACGUGGAACAUAGGAACCUUGACGGGAAAAUCUAUGGAAGUAGUAGAAGUUAUGGUGAGGAGAAGGAUAAAUAUUAUGUGCCUACAAGAAACUAAGUGGGUUGGUCGUAAGGCAAAGGAUCUAGAAAACUC
rnacentral:lncRNA from 1 species